UACGGGGGGUGCAAGCGUUGUUCGGAAUUACUGGGCGUAAAGGGCGCGUAGGUGGCCUUCUAAGUUGAACGUGAAAUCCCUGGGCUCAACCCAGGAACUGCGUCCAAGACUGGGAGGCUUGAAUCCGGGAGAGGGAUGCGGAAUUCCAGGUGUAGCGGUGAAAUGCGUAGAUAUCUGGAGGAACACCGGUGGCGAAGGCGGCAUCCUGGACCGGUAUUGACACUGAGGCGCGAAAGCCAGGGGAGCAAACGGG
rnacentral:rRNA from 1 species